rnacentral:rRNA from 1 species
UUUCCGGUAGGGGUGACCUGCGGAAGGAUCAUUA